CCUACGGGUGGCAGCAGUGAGGAAUAUUGGUCAAUGGACGAGAGUCUGAACCAGCCAAGUAGCGUGAAGGAUGACUGCCCUAUGGGUUGUAAACUUCUUUUAUAUGGGAAUAAAAUGUUUCACGUGUGGGAUUUUGUAUGUACCAUAUGAAUAAGGAUCGCCUAACUCCGGGCCAGCAGCCGCGGUAAUACGGAGGAUCCGAGCGUUAUCCGGAUUUAUUGGGUUUAAAGGGAGCGUAGGUGGAUUGUUAAGUCAGUUGUGAAAGUUUGCGGCUCAACCGUAGAAUUGCAGUUGAAACUGGCAAUCUUGAGUACAGGAGAGGUGAGUGGAAUUCGUGGUGUAGCGGUGAAAUGCUUAGAUAUCACGAAGAACACCGGUGGCGAAGGCAGCUCACUGGACUGCAACUGACGCUGAGGCUCGAAAGUGUGGGUAGCAAACAGGAUUAGAUACCCCGGUAGUC
rnacentral:rRNA from 1 species